rnacentral:lncRNA from 1 species
CAACCGUUGCGGGCUCAGUGCAGUCCAGCGAGGGGAAACAGCUAGGUCCUCUCCCUCCCAGGGCCACCGACCCACAGAAGAGGCGCCUCUUUCGGGUGCGGCCGGGACAAAACGCGAGGCUAACCCUUGAACAGAGAAAUAAACUGGAGGAGAGGCUAACAGGGAACAGAACCAGACCCCCAAAUCCAAAUCUGAACUCGAGAACCGCCCCUCCGCCACCCCGAACGCGCGCUGUCCCCAAGGGGUGGGGUCCCCUCGUGGAGCCCAGCCCCUUGGUCGUCUUCCCUAGCACACACCCACGGAAGAGCUCAGCAGCAACCUUCCCAACCAAACUGGGGAGCCAGGGACAGUACCCGCGCACGGUGCGCGGAGGAAGAGGUCACCGAGGGCGGCCGGGGUGGGUCCCACCGGAGACAGUGGCCGGCGCUCCGAAAGUCGCGAGUUGGGUGUCUGCUCGAGCGAGGCAGACGGAGCGCGGCGGCCCUUUGUCUGCGGCCGC